GAUGAACGCUUGCGGGAGGCCUAACACAUGCAAGCCGAGCGGUAUUGUUUCUUCGGAAAUGAGAGAGCGGCGUACGGGUGCGGAACACGUGUGCAACCUGCCUUUAUCUGGGGGAUAGCCUUUCGAAAGGAAGAUUAAUACUCCAUAAUAUCUUGAACGGCAUCGUUUAAUAUUGAAAGCUCCGGCGGAUAGAGAUGGGCACGCGCAAGAUUAGCUAGUUGGUGAGGUAACGGCUCACCAAGGCGAUGAUCUUUAGGGGGCCUGAGAGGGUGAUCCCCCACACUGGUACUGAGACACGGACCAGACUCCUACGGGAGGCAGCAGUGAGGAAUAUUGGUCAAUGGGUGCAAGCCUGAACCAGCCAUCCCGCGUGAAGGACGACUGCCCUAUGGGUUGUAAACUUCUUUUGUAUAGGGAUAAACCUACCCUCGUGAGGGUAGCUGAAGGUACUAUACGAAUAAGCACCGGCUAACUCCGUGCCAGCAGCCGCGGUAAUACGGAGGGUGCAAGCGUUAUCCGGAUUUAUUGGGUUUAAAGGGUCCGUAGGCGGACUUAUAAGUCAGUGGUGAAAGCCUGUCGCUUAACGAUAGAACUGCCAUUGAUACUGUAAGUCUUGAGUAUAUUUGAGGUAGCUGGAAUAAGUAGUGUAGCGGUGAAAUGCAUAGAUAUUACUUAGAACACCAAUUGCGAAGGCAGGUUACCAAGAUAUAACUGACGCUGAGGGACGAAAGCGUGGGGAGCGAACAGGAUUAGAUACCCUGGUAGUCCACGCCGUAAACGAUGCUAACUCGUUUUUGGGCUUUAGGGUUCAGAGACCAAGCGAAAGUGAUAAGUUAGCCACCUGGGGAGUACGCUCGCAAGAGUGAAACUCAAAGGAAUUGACAGGGGCCCGCACAAGCGGUGGAUUAUGUGGUUUAAUUCGAUGAUACGCGAGGAACCUUACCAAGACUUAAAUGGGAAUUGACAGCUUUAGAAAUAGAGCUUUCUUCGGACAAUUUUCAAGGUGCUGCAUGGUUGUCGUCAGCUCGUGCCGUGAGGUGUUAGGUUAAGUCCUGCAACGAGCGCAACCCCUGUCACUAGUUGCCAUCAUUCAGUUGGGGACUCUAGUGAGACUGCCUACGCAAGUAGAGAGGAAGGUGGGGAUGACGUCAAAUCAUCACGGCCCUUACGUCUUGGGCCACACACGUAAUACAAUGGCCGGUACAGAGGGCAGCUACACAGCGAUGUGAUGCAAAUCUCGAAAGCCGGUCUCAGUUCGGAUUGGAGUCUGCAACUCGACUCUAUGAAGCUGGAAUCGCUAGUAAUCGCGCAUCAGCCAUGGCGCGGUGAAUACGUUCCCGGGCCU
rnacentral:rRNA from 1 species